UGUGCUGCUCCCUUUGCCCAGGAUAGCUUC
rnacentral:piRNA from 1 species